rnacentral:rRNA from 1 species
UACGUAGGGUCCGAGCGUUGUCCGGAAUUACUGGGCGUAAAGAGCUCGUAGGUGGUUUGUCGCGUUGUUCGUGAAAACUCACAGCUCAACUGUGGGCGUGCGGGCGAUACGGGCAGACUUGAGUACUGCAGGGGAGACUGGAAUUCCUGGUGUAGCGGUGGAAUGCGCAGAUAUCAGGAGGAACACCGGUGGCGAAGGCGGGUCUCUGGGCCGAUACUGACGCUGAGGAGCGAAAGCAUGGGUAGCGAACAGG